GGAUAACUACUGGAAACGGUAGCUAAUACCGCAUAACGUCGCAAGACCAAAGAGGGGGACCUUCGGGCCUCUUGCCAUCAGAUGCGCCCAGAUGGGAUUAGCUAGUAGGUGGGGUAACGGCUCACCUAGGCGACGAUCCCUAGCUGGUCUGAGAGGAUGACCAGCCACACUGGAACUGAGACACGGUCCAGACUCCUACGGGAGGCAGCAGUGGGGAAUAUUGCACAAUGGGCGCAAGCCUGAUGCAGCCAUGCCGCGUGUAUGAAGAAGGCCUUCGGGUUGUAAAGUACUUUCAGCGGGGAGGGAGGGAGUAAAGUUAAUACCUUUGCUCAUUGACGUUACCCGCAGAAGAAGCACCGGCUAACUCCGUGCCAGCAGCCGCGGUGAUACGGAGGGUGCAAGCGUUAAUCGGAAUUACUGGGCGUAAAGCGCACGCAGGCGGUUUGUUAAGUCAGAUGUGAAAUCCCCGGGCUCAACCUGGGAACUGCAUCUGAUACUGGCAAGCUUGAGUCUCGUAGAGGGGGGUAGAAUUCCAGGUGUAGCGGUGAAAUGCGUAGAGAUCUGGAGGAAUACCGGUGGCGAAGGCGGCCCCCUGGACAAAGACUAACGCUCAGGUGCGAAAGCGUGGGGAGCAAACAGGAUUAGAUACCCUGGUAGUCCACGC
rnacentral:rRNA from 1 species